rnacentral:rRNA from 1 species
UGAGAGACGGGGUGGGUCUAGAGGCAGGGAGAGGCUGGUGGAAUUCCCGGUGUAGUGGUGAAAUGCGUAGAGACCGGGAGGAACACCAGUGGCGAAGGCGGCCCGCUGGCCCUGACCUGACGCUGAGGCGCGAAGGCGCGGGGAGCGAACGGGAUUAGAUACCCCGGUAGUCCGCGCAGUAAACGCUGUGGACUAGGUGUGGGAGGUGUUGACCCCCUCCGUGCCGGCGCUAACGCAGUAAGUCCCCCGCCUGGGGAGUACGGCCGCAAGGCUAAAACUCAAAGGAAUUGACGG